rnacentral:rRNA from 1 species
UACGGAGGGUGCAAGCGUUGUUCGGAUUUACUGGGCGUAAAGCGCGCGCAGGUGGGUGUGCAAGUCGGAAGUGAAAUCCCAGGGCUCAACCCUGGGGCUGCUCCCGAAACGGCACGCCUAGGGACUGGUAGAGGCUGGUAGAAUUCCCGGUGUAGCGGUGGAAUGCGUAGAGAUCGGGAAGAAUACCUGUGGCGAAGGCGGCCAGCUGGGCCAGAUCCGACACUGAGGCGCGAAAGCGUGGGGAGCAAACAGGAUUAGAUACCCUGGUAGUCCACGCCGUAAACGAUGGGCACUAGGCGCUGGUGGGAGCGACCCCUUCAGUGCCGUAGCUAACGCGAUAAGUGCCCCGCCUGGGGAGUACGGCCGCAAGGCUGAA